GUAGGUGGCAAGCGUUGUCCGGAAUUAUUGGGCGUAAAGCGCGCGCAGGCGGUUCUUUAAGUCUGAUGUGAAAGCCCACGGCUCAACCGCGGAGGGUCAUUGGAAACUGGAGAACUUGAGUACAGAAGAGGAAAGCGGAAUUCCACGUGUAGCGGUGAAAUGCGUAGAGAUGUGGAGGAACACCAGUGGCGAAGGCGGCUUUCUGGUCUGUAACUGACGCUGAGGCGCGAAAGCGUGGGGAGCAAACAGGAUUAGAUACCCUGGUAGUCCACGCCGUAAACGAUGAGUGCUAAGUGUUAGGGGGGUUUCCGCCCCCCUUAGUGCUGCAGCUAACGCAUUAAGCACUCCGCCUGGGAGUACGGCCGCAAGGCUG
rnacentral:rRNA from 1 species